AACACAAAUCCCCCCAAUCCCAUCACCAACCCUUGUUUUACCCCAAAUUCACCCAAUUUUCAACCGUCAUUAUCCGUUGCUGUCAUCGCUCCGUCACCGUUGCGCCCCCGUCGCGCUCUGUUGCUGCCGCAACCCUCGCCGACUUCGAUUCCGACCCCAACCUCAUUGUACAGCUUGCCGCGGUGCUUGGCAACUUUGCCUGUGGCCUUGACGCCGGUGUCCGUGCUGUCCUCGACGCCGGAGCUUUCCCUCAGUUGAUCAGGCUCCUCUCUGCCUCCGAUGAGAAGGUUGUGGAUGCAGCUGCACGUUCUCUACAAAUGAUUUAUCAAUCAAAAUUGGCCCCAAAAUAUGACUUUUUCAAGGAAGAGAACUUGGAGUUCCUGCUUUUACUAUUGAAAAGCGAGAAUGAAAAUCUUUCUGUACUGGGUGCGAGCAUUAUUAUUCAUUCAUGCGAGGCAGGUGAAGAACAGAAUAUCUUAUGCUUUGUUGGUGUGUUGGACAAACUCAUCAGCCUUUUGUAUGGUUCUCUAAGCCAGCGAGAUGCUAGUUUGGAGUCCAUAGCUGCGAUUGUUAAAAACAAUUCUGAAGCUGUCUCUAAAUUUGUGGACCUUAGAGGUGGAAGAGCAUUGAGCCCUGUAAUUGAAUUAAGUAAAGACAAACAUUCUCGGACAAGAUUACUAGCUUGCUUGUGCCUUAUUUGUGUUAAGAAUGCUUCUUCUUGCCAUCUUUAAGACACGGGAAUCAAAACGAAACUGAUAAAUAAUCUGCUUGAAGCUCCAUUUCCAGGUACUUAUUUUGUUACAUUUGGGCAAAUUGGACUCACUUCCUUCAAUGUUUACAUGGUGCUUAGUCUCAUUUCUUAUAGUAUACAGAGGUUUAUCAGAUGGUUGUGUAAGAAGCAUUGGAUUGUUAUGGAAAUGGAUUUUUGAAGUAUUCAGGGCUGAAAUUGCCAGAUACAGAAAAAUCAUGGUAUAGUAGAAAUAUCAGCAUUGAAGAUUGUAAGAUGUUGUGCUUGAAGAAUUGUUUAUGUAUGGCUUAUGCAGCUUUGGAUAUAAGUGAAGCGGCAAGUGGUUGUUUGAUAUUAAAGCCCUGAAUCCAAAUUCUCUUGAAGAUAUUUACUUAAGAAUGGCUGCUACAA